UCCGUAGGCGGGCUAAUAAGUCAGCGGUGAAAUCCCACAGCUUAACUGUGGAACUGCCUUUGAUACUGUUAGUCUUGAGUUAUAUGGAAGUAGAUAGAAUGUGUAGUGUAGCGGUGAAAUGCAUAGAUAUUACACAGAAUACCGAUUGCGAAGGCAGUCUACUACGUAUAUACUGACGCUAAUGGACGAAAGCGUGGGGAGCGAACAGGAUUAGAUACCCUGGUAGUCC
rnacentral:rRNA from 1 species